rnacentral:lncRNA from 1 species
AAAACUGUUGUGUCCAAUAUUGUAGCCACUACCUCCAGGUGGCUACUGAAUACUUGAAAUAUGGUUAGUCCUAACAUGUGCUGUAAAUGUAAAAUUCAUACAGUAUGUGAACUGUCUCAUUAAUUUUAUAUUGAUGACAUGUUGAAAUGAUAAUAUUAUAGAUCUAUCAGGUUAAAGAACAUAUAUUGGGAGAGCCGCCCUGCGCAAAAAAAGUGCAGCCUGCCCAAGAGUGGCACCACACACACGGAGAGCUGACGCAGCAAGGUGACACAACAAAAAGAGACACAGAUUCCCAGUGCCACUGCCAAGAAUACAAGCAGACACAGAAGAACACACAGCAAAUGGACACAGAGGGCAGACAACUGGGGUCGGGGGUGGGGAAUAAAUUAAAAAAUAAACAAUGUCAUCAAUUAUUAAAAAAAUGUUGAAAUUAAUUUCACUAGUUCCUCUUUACUUUUGUAGUGUGGAAACUAGAGCUUUAAAGCUACAUUUGCGGUUUGCAUUUAUAACUUACAUUAUAUUUCUGUUGGACAGUGCUAUUCUAAAAUGUUAUUAACUUUAAAAAACUCUUUAUUUGUAGAUGAAGAAAAAACUCCAGAACAAAUUAUGCAAGAAAAGCAUAUUGAAGCGUAUGUCCUAUUUUUCUAUUUAUUUGUGAUUUUUACUAGGGUUUAAUCAUAUCUAUCUGUGAAAAUUAUCUUUUCUUUAUCCAAAUAAUUUGUCAUGCAUGUAUUGGAAAGUUGUUGAUUUAGGAUGGAGACUUCCAUAUACAUGAGUGAUCAUAUUAUCACUUAUCAGGGUAUCUCAGGAGAUGUCAGUUUACCAAAGUGUUGUACUGAUAAACGUGCAACAGUAUGGUGAGCCUGUAGAAUACAUUUAUUUCAGUAGAGGCAUUUUACAGUUUUCAAAGGUUUAUUUUGUGAUCUUGCUGAGAUGUUUUUGUUCACAUUUCUUUUUUAGUAAAAUUGAAGACCUAGAAAAUGAAAUUGAAGAGUCAAAAAUUGCUUUUGAAAUGAAACGUCUUGCAUUAGACAGGAUGCAGCUUUCAUCUGCACUUAAAAAAAACCUGAGA